GAUAUGCUGAUUAAGCAGCACUUCUGUUAAUGACUAAAGAAUGAAGUAAAUGUUUCUGAAAUCUGUUUAAAUAUCUGGAAGAAUUAAGCAAAAAGAAUGGAACAUAAUCUAAUUUCAGUUCGCUGAGUGACACAUUUCUUCUCCACUGUACCACUCUUCCAAAGAGCUUGGGUUUUUUGAGGGAGUCCUAUAUCUUUCACUCCCCAACAAGAAUGCAUGAUAGGCUCGUAGAGCUUUAUUAAAUAAUAGCCUAGUGAAAAAGGAGUACAUGUACGAAGGUAGAGACAUCCUUACAUCCUUUUAGAAAGAAAUGUAUAUUAGGAAGACCAACUGAUCGGGGAAUUAAGAGUAGUCCCAUUGUACUCUUUGCAAUCUUAGAACGAAAAUGAUACGUUGAGUGUGAGAACGUAGAAGCAUAUUAUGAUCAUGUUGUUUGGAGUUAUAUCAUCUUUUAUAUGAAAAACCUUACUGCAACCCAUAGGCUGACAAUGGCUUUUUCCUCUUUUCCCCCCUUCGUGACUUGAACAAAUUAACCUGCUACCUCUUGGUUAGAAGUGGACUGUCUUGUACAGUAGUAAAGACCAACAAUUUCCUGUCUGUUUAAACUUAUAUCACUUUAUAUGGUUUCUAGGAACUUAUUGACUAACAGAACACAUGUACUAAAUGGCAGUUUAACU
rnacentral:misc_RNA from 1 species